rnacentral:rRNA from 1 species
GACGAACGCUGGCGGCGUGCCUAAUACAUGCAAGUAGAACGCACAGUUUAUACCGUAGCUUGCUACACCAUAGACUGUGAGUUGCGAACGGGUGAGUAACGCGUAGGUAACCUGCCUGGUAGCGGGGGAUAACUAUUGGAAACGAUAGCUAAUACCGCAUAAUAUUAAUUAUUGCAUGAUAAUUAAUUGAAAGGUGCAAUUGCACCACUACCAGAUGGACCUGCGUUGUAUUAGCUAGUAGGUGAGGUAACGGCUCACCUAGGCGACGAUACAUAGCCGACCUGAGAGGGGGAGCGGCCACACUGGGACUGGGACACGGCCCAGACUCCUACGGGAGGCAGCAGUAGGGAAUCUUCGGCAAUGGACGAAAGUCUGACCGAGCAACGCCGCGUGAGUGAAGAAGGUUGUCGGAUCGUAAAGCUCUGUUGUAAGAGAAGAACGGGUGUGAGAGUGGAAAGUUCACACUGUGACGGUAGCUGACCAGAAAGGGACGGCUAACUACGUG